rnacentral:lncRNA from 1 species
GCCGUUUUGUUUCUAUGAGAUUUUUUCCUUUGUUGUGUGAAUUUCAAUGUCCGUUUGGAUAUAAGAACUAAAACCUGAAAUUCAAAAUAAUUGUUGAAAAAAUAUUUCUACUCUCAAACUGAAUUUUUCAAUCCAAGUCUUAAAAAAAUUGAGGAUCACUGAUGAUUCAAAUAUUUAAGAACUCUUUAAUAAGUUUUGCUCNNNN